rnacentral:rRNA from 1 species
GACGAACGCUGGCGGCGUGCCUAAUACAUGCAAGUAGAACGCUGAAGGAGGAGCUUGCUUCUCUGGAUGAGUUGCGAACGGGUGAGUAACGCGUAGGUAACCUGCCUGGUAGCGGGGGAUAACUAUUGGAAACGAUAGCUAAUACCGCAUAAGAGUAGAUGUUGCAUGACAUUUGCUUAAAAGGUGCACUUGCAUCACUACCAGAUGGACCUGCGUUGUAUUAGCUAGUUGGUGGGGUAACGGCUCACCAAGGCGACGAUACAUAGCCGACCUGAGAGGGUGAUCGGCCACACUGGGACUGAGACACGGCCCAGACUCCUACGGGAGGCAGCAGUAGGGAAUCUUCGGCAAUGGACGGAAGUCUGACCGAGCAACGCCGCGUGAGUGAAGAAGGUUUUCGGAUCGUAAAGCUCUGUUGUAAGAGAAGAACGAGUGUGAGAGUGGAAAGUUCACACUGUGACGGUAUCUUACCAGAAAGGGACGGCUAACUACGUGCCAGCAGCCGCGGUAAUACGUAGGUCCCGAGCGUUGUCCGGAUUUAUUGGGCGUAAAGCGAGCGCAGGCGGUUAGAUAAGUCUGAAGUUAAAGGCUGUGGCUUAACCAUAGUAGGCUUUGGAAACUGUUUAACUUGAGUGCAAGAGGGGAGAGUGGAAUUCCAUGUGUAGCGGUGAAAUGCGUAGAUAUAUGGAGGAACACCGGUGGCGAAAGCGGCUCUCUGGCUUGUAACUGACGCUGAGGCUCGAAAGCGUGGGGAGCAAACGGGAUUAGAUACCCUGGUAGUCCACGCUGUAAACGAUGAGUGCUAGGUGUUAGACCCUUUCCGGGGUUUAGUGCCGUAGCUAACGCAUUAAGCACUCCGCCUGGGGAGUACGACCGCAAGGUUGAAACUCAAAGGAAUUGACGGGGGCCCGCACAAGCGGUGGAGCAUAUGGUUUAAUUCGAAGCAACGCGAAGAACCUUACCAGGUCUUGACAUCCCUCUGACCGCUCUAGAGAUAGAGUUUUCCUUCGGGACAGAGGUGACAGGUGGUGCAUGGUUGUCGUCAGCUCGUGUCGUGAGAUGUUGGGUUAAGUCCCGCAACGAGCGCAACCCCUAUUGUUAGUUGCCAUCAUUUAGUUGGGCACUCUAGCGAGACUGCCGGUAAUAAACCGGAGGAAGGUGGGGAUGACGUCAAAUCAUCAUGCCCCUUAUGACCUGGGCUACACACGUGCUACAAUGGCUGGUACAACGAGUCGCAAGCCGGUGACGGCAAGCUAAUCUCUUAAAGCCAGUCUCAGUUCGGAUUGUAGGCUGCAACUCGCCUACAUGAAGUCGGAAUCGCUAGUAAUCGCGGAUCAGCACGCCGCGGUGAAUACGUUCCCGGGCCU